rnacentral:rRNA from 1 species
AUGGUGCGAGCGCCCUCGCCUUCUUCUCUCCUCUACGCUCUACUGCUCGCCGUGACCGCGCUGGUCGGGCAGUACCCGGCGGGCUCGCUGCGGGCGGCGACGGCGCAGACCAUGGUGCCGGUCCGCGUCGGGGUGAUCCUGGACUGGUCGACGAAGGUGUUGUCGGCGGUGUCGCUAAGGCGGCGGACCGGCAUUCAGAUGGCGGUGGAGGAUUACUACGCGGCGCACCCGGGGUCGGCCACCAGGGUGGAGCUCCACUUCGCGGACUCCAAAGGGGACGUCAUCGGCGCCACUUCCGCCGGUAAGCUCCCUCCCUCCCCCGCCGCACACACCUGUUCCACUUCCACCUAG